ensembl:lncRNA novel transcript
GUUAGAGAUGGAAGGGACUCAGAGAGCCUCUGAACUGCUUUCUAAAUUCACAGAUUGAAAAUCUAAAACCCACAGAGUUCAAAGACCUUACUCAAAGUCAAAGAGCUAGUGGGUGGUCAAGCUUACAUUAAUUCUAGAUUUGUCUAGAUUGAUGGAUUCUGCAUUCUACCAUCUAAGAUUAAAAUUUGACUGGAAGAAUACUCUAGAUGUUCAGUCAAAAGCUAAAGGUUAAAAUUUGCAUGAAAUAACUCAUGAAUUCUAUUUCCAUUGUUUCAACUGAAAAUUAUUUGCAAAAUAAAUGUGCGUGUACAUUAUAAAUUUGAUUGGCAAUAUUGAUUUAAAACGGAGGUUAUCAAUAUUUUUUAAGUACAAGGUGUCAGAAUUGUAUUGAACUCCUAAAAGAAUAAACCCAAAAUAAGUUUUAAAAUAUGACCAAAAUUUGAUAUUAAAAUCACAGAAAAGAGUAAUAGAACCCUGGAUUGAGAAUAAAAAUGACUGUAUUCUGCCUUAGAAUGUACUCCUUUAAAUGAACAGUAAUUCCUUGAAGAAGUCUCUGUGCAUAUCUAAAUUUAAUUUUCUUCAUUGCACACUAAGCUUCUGAUAGUUGCUUUUGGGGAUCGAUGAAUCGCUUGAGAAUCUCUGAUUGGGCAAAAGGCCUAAGUGUCUAUAAGAAGCUGAGGAGCUGGAGUGGGAGCAGAAACGUCUGGCAGGGUGAAUGGAGCUGGAAGAAGUGGGAUUAAUCCAUAUGGUAAAGAAGAAAAUAUAGAUAUUUGGACCGAAGAGGUUAAAAAAGUCAAUGGAUGACACCAUUCUCUGAAGAAAAUUAAAGAGGAAUCCAAACUCAUUGUAUGAGGCCAGCAUUACGCUGAUACCUGAUCCACAGAAGGACACUAGAAGAAAAGAAAAUCACAGGCUAAUUUCCUUGAUGAACAUAGAUGCAAGGAUCCUCAACAAAAUACCAGCAAACCAAAUUCAACAGCACAUUAACAGUGUCACACAUGAGCAACUGGAAUUUAUCCCUGGGACGGAAGGAUGGUUCAACACUGGCCUAUUGUUUUUAAGGCUUUCUGGCUCUGGAAACUGUAAACUCUUGCCUCCAAAAUGACCUCAGGAGUCUCCCAGGAAUUACAGGAGACUAUUCCAAGGUGCAAUAAUUUAUCUCUCAAAGAGAUAAAAGUUUAAUUUUAAUUUUUCUUUCUUCUGCUUUACUGAAUUAAUUUAUGAAAA